rnacentral:rRNA from 1 species
AUUGAACGCUGGCGGCAGGCCUAACACAUGCAAGUCGAGCGGAUGAAGGGAGCUUGCUCCUGGAUUCAGCGGCGGACGGGUGAGUAAUGCCUAGGAAUCUGCCUGGUAGUGGGGGAUAACGUCCGGAAACGGGCGCUAAUACCGCAUACGUCCUGAGGGAGAAAGUGGGGGAUCUUCGGACCUCACGCUAUCAGAUGAGCCUAGGUCGGAUUAGCUAGUUGGUGGGGUAAAGGCCUACCAAGGCGACGAUCCGUAACUGGUCUGAGAGGAUGAUCAGUCACACUGGAACUGAGACACGGUCCAGACUCCUACGGGAGGCAGCAGUGGGGAAUAUUGGACAAAGGGCGAAAGCCUGAUCCAGCCAUGCCGCGUGUGUGAAGAAGGUCUUCGGAUUGUAAAGCGCUUUAAGUUGGGAGGAAGGGCAGUAAGUUAAUACCUUGCUGUUUUGACGUUACCAACAGAAUAAGCACCGGCUAACUUCGUG